UGGGAACCGGCGUAAGGGGCAGUAAUGUGUGGGUACCUACCUUUGGGUUCGGGAUAGCCAUCAGAGAUGGUGGGUAAUACCGGAUGACGUCGUGAGACCAAAGAUUUAUCGCCCUUAGAGGGGCCCACAUGAUAUUAGCUAGUUGGUGAGGUAAUGGCUCACCAAGGCUAAGAUGUCUAGCGGGUGUGAGAGCACGACCCGCGCCACUCGCACUGAGACACUGGCGAGACAC
rnacentral:rRNA from 1 species